CCGAGUGCGGGUCCUCGCGGCCCAACCUCCCACCCUUGUCUCUAUACACCUGUUGCUUUGGCGGGCCCACUGGGGCCACCUGGUCGCCGGGGGACGCAUGUCCCCGGGCCCGCGCCCGCCGAAGCGCUCUGUGAACCCUGAUGAAGAUGGGCUGUCUGAGUACCAUGAAAAUUGUCAAAACUUUCAACAAUGGAUCUCUUGGUUCCGGCAUCGAUGAAGAACGCAGCGAAAUGCGAUAAGUAAUGUGAAUUGCAGAAUUCCGUGAAUCAUCGAAUCUUUGAACGCACAUUGCGCCCCCUGGCAGUUCCGGGGGGCAUGCCUGUCCGAGCGUCAUUUCUGCCCUCAAGCACGGCUUGUAUCGCGUACUUGGUCAUUUAGAGGAAGUAAAAGUCGUAACAAGGUCUCCGUUGGUGAACCAGCGGAGGGAUCAUUACUGAGUUGCAAAACUCCCAACCAUUGUGAACCUACCUAUCGUUGCUUCGGCGGGCGAGGCCCUCAGCGGCCUCGCGCCCACCCCCCUCGGGGGGAGGCAGCCCGCCGGAGGCGUCCAAACUAUAGCAUACAUUGGCCUCUCUGAGUAGCUUAUAAAAUAAGUCA
rnacentral:misc_RNA from 1 species